GUCCACGCCAUAACGAUGACAACUAGACGUUGAGAGGUUGCCUCCCAGUGUCGAAGCUAACGCGUUAAGUUGUCCGCCUGGGAGUACGGCCGCAAGGUUGAACUCAAGGAAUUGACGGGACCCGCACAAGCGGUGGAGCAUGUGGUUUAAUUCGAUGCAACGCGAAGAACCUUACCUGGUCUUGACAUCCAUGGGACCCUGCAGAGAUGCGGGGUGCCGUAAGGAACCAUGAGACAGGUGCUGCAUGGCUGUCGU
rnacentral:rRNA from 1 species